rnacentral:rRNA from 1 species
ACGUAGGGUGCAAGCGUUAAUCGGAAUUACUGGGCGUAAAGCGUGCGCAGGUGGUCGUGCAAGACAGAUGUGAAAUCCCCGGGCUUAACCUGGGAACUGCAUUUGUGACUGCUCGACUCGAGUGCGGCAGAGGGGGAUGGAAUUCCGCGUGUAGCAGUGAAAUGCGUAGAUAUGCGGAGGAACACCGAUGGCGAAGGCAAUCCCCUGGGCCUGCACUGACACUCAUGCACGAAAGCGUGGGGAGCAAACAGGAUUAGAUACCCUGGUAGUCCACGCCCUAAACUAUGUCAACUGGUUGUUGGGAGGGUUUCUUCUCAGUAACGAAGCUAACGCGUGAAGUUGACCGCCUGGGGAGUACGGCCGCAAGGUUG